rnacentral:rRNA from 1 species
AGUGAACGCUGGCGGUAGGCCUAACACAUGCAAGUCGAACGGCAGCACAGUAAGAGCUUGCUCUUACGGGUGGCGAGUGGCGGACGGGUGAGGAAUACAUCGGAAUCUACUUUUUCGUGGGGGAUAACGUAGGGAAACUUACGCUAAUACCGCAUACGACCUACGGGUGAAAGCAGGGGAUCUUCGGACCUUGCGCGAUUGAAUAAGCCGAUGUCGGAUUAGCUAGUUGGCGGGGUAAAGGCCCACCAAGGCGACGAUCCGUAGCUGGUCUGAGAGGAUGAUCAGCCACACUGGAACUGAGACACGGUCCAGACUCCUGCGGGAGGCAGCAGUGGGGAAUAUUGGACAAUGGGCGCAAGCCUGAUCCAGCCAUACCGCGUGGGUGAAGAAGGCCUUCGGGUUGUAAAGCCCUUUUGUUGGGAAAGAAAAGCAGCAGGUUAAUACCCCGCUGUUCUGACGGUACCCAAAGAAUAAGCACCGGCUAACUUCGUG